rnacentral:lncRNA from 1 species
UAGGGUUAGGUAGUUCCUCCUCUCUACCCUGGGGUUAGGUAGUUCCUCCUCUCUACCCUGGGGUUAGGUAGUUCCUCCUCUCUACCCUAGGGUUAGGUAGUUCCUCCUCUCUACCCUGGGGUUAGGUAGUUCCUCCUCUCUACCCUGGGGUUAGGUAGUUCCUCCUCUCUACCCUGGGGUUAGGUAGCUCCUCCUCUCUACCCUAGGGUUAGGUAGCUCCACCUCUCUACCCUGGGGUUAGGUAGCUCCUCCUCUCUACCCUAGGGUUAGGUAGCUCCUCCUCUCUACCCUGGGGUUAGGUAGUUCCUCCUCUCUACCCUGGGGUUAGGUAGUUCCUCCUCUCUACCCUGGGGUUAGGUAGUUCCUCCUCUCUACCCUGGGGUUAGGUAGUUCCUCCUCUCUACCCUGGGGUUUGGUAGCUCCUCCUCUCUACCCUAGGGUUAGGUAGCUCCUCCUCUCUACCCUGGGGUUAGGUAGCUCCUCCUCUCUACCCUAGGGUUAGGUAGCUCCACCUCUCUACCCUGGGGUUAGGUAGCUCCUCCUCUCUACCCUAGGGUUAGGUAGCUCCUCCUCUCUACCCUAGGGUUAGGUAGCUCCUCCUCUCUACCCUAGGGUUAGGUAGCUCCUCCUCUCUACCCUAGGGUUAGGUAGCUGUAGCUCCUCCUUUCUACCCUAGGGUUAGGUAGCUCCUCCUCUCUACCCUAGGGUUAGUUAGCUCCUCCUCUCUACCCUAGGGUUAGGUAGCUGUCUAGCUCCUCCUCUCUACCCUAGGGUUAGUUAGCUGUCUAGCUUCUCCUCUCUACCCUAGGGUUAUUUAGCUGUCUAGCUCCUCCUCUCUACCCUAGGGUUAUUUAGCUGUCUAGCUCCUCCUCUCUACCCUAGGGUUAGUUAGCUGUCUAGCUCCUCCUCUCUACCCUAGGGUUAGGUAGCUGUCUAGCUCCUCCUCUCUACCCUAGGGUUAGUUAGCUGUCUAGCUCCUCCUCUCUACCCUAGGGUUAGGUAGCUGUCUAGCUCCUCC